rnacentral:rRNA from 1 species
UACGUAGGGUGCAAGCGUGAAUCGGAAUUACUGGGCGUAAAGCGUGCGCAGGCGGUGAUGUAAGACAGAUGUGAAAUCCCCGGGCUCAACCUGGGAACUGCAUUUGUGACUGCAUCGCUGGAGUACGGCAGAGGGGGAUGGAAUUCCGCGUGUAGCAGUGAAAUGCGUAGAUAUGCGGAGGAACACCGAUGGCGAAGGCAAUCCCCUGGGCCUGUACUGACGCUCAUGCACGAAAGCGUGGGGAGCAAACAGG